rnacentral:rRNA from 1 species
CAGGGAAUCUUCGGCAAUGGACGAAAGUCUGACCGAGCAACGCCGCGUGAGUAAAGAAGGUUUUCGGAUCGUAAAACUCUGUUGGUAGAGAAGAACGUUGGUGAGAGUGGAAAGCUCAUCAAGUGACGGUAACUACCCAGAAAGGGACGGCUAACUACGUGUCAG